rnacentral:rRNA from 1 species
UUUGUCUUUUUGGCAAAUGUGAGAUGCAGUGUAUGGAAUGUCAAAUUUCUAGUAUGAGAAAUUAACGAUUUAAGUCCUUCUUAAAUGAGGCCAUUUACCCACAGAGGGUGCCAGGCCCGUAUAACGUUAAUGAUUACUAGAUGGCAUUUCCAAAGAGUCGUGUUGCUUGAUAGUGCAGCACUAAGUGGGUGGUAAACUCCAUCUAAAACUAAAUAUUACCAUGAGACCGAUAGUAAACAAGUACCGUGAGGGAAAGUUGAAAAGAACUCUGAAUAGAGAGUUAAAUAGUACGUGAAACUGCUUAGAGGUUAAGCCCGAUGAACCUGAAUAUCCAUUAUGGAAAAUUCAUCAUUGUGAUUUUAAUAUAUUAUAAUAAUGGUGUGCAUUUUUUCUAUAGAGGACAUUGUAAUCUAUUAACAUAAAAAUUUAUCAAAAGAUCAGCGGUAGUUUAUUCAAAUUAUUUUGCUUGCAAUUUAACAUAGGAUAAAUGCUUUUGAUUUGAUAAAGUGUUGAUAGAUUUAAUAUAUAGUGCUUGAAUAAUAUUCUAUAAUAGCAUAGUAAUUAAUAAUUUCUGUGUUUAUUAUAUGCACUUGUAUGAUUAACAAUGCGAAAGAUUCAGGAUACCUUCGGGACCCGUCUUGAAACACGGACCAAGGAGUCUAACAUAUUUGCAAGUUAUUGGAAAAAAUCUAAUAGCGAAAUUAACAUAACAUAAUGGGAUUAGUUUCUAGCCUAGUCUAUUAAUUCAAUCCCGGGGCGUUCUAUACAGUUAUGUAUAAUAAUAUUUUAUAUUAUUUAUACCUCUAACUAGAGCGUACCUUGAGCAUAUAUGCUGUGACCCGAAAGAUGGUGAACUAUACUUGAUCAGGUUGAAGUCAGGGGAAACCCUGAUGGAAGACCGAAACAGUUCUGACGUGCAAAUCGAUUGUCAGAAUUGAGUAUAGGGGCGAAAGACCAAUCGAACCAUCUAGUAGCUGGUUCCCUCCGAAGUUUCCCUCAGGAUAGCUGGUGCAUUUAAAAAUUAUGUAAAAUAAUCUUAUCUGGUAAAGCGAAUGAUUAGAGGCCUUAGGGUCGAAACGACCUUAACCUAUUCUCAAACUUUAAAUGGGUAAGAACCUCACCUUUCUUGGUAUGAAGGUUGUGGUUGUGAUAUAAUGUGCCCAGUGGGCCACUUUUGGUAAGCAGAACUGGCGCUGUGGGAUGAACCAAACGUAAUGUUACGGUGCCCAAAUUAACAACUCAUGCAGAUACCAUGAAAGGCGUU